AGUGAACGCUGGCGGUAGGCCUAACACAUGCAAGUCGAACGGCAGCACAGUAAGAUCUUGCUCUUACGGGUGGCGAGUGGCGGACGGGUGAGGAAUACAUCGGAAUCUACUUUUUCGUGGGGGACAACGUAGGGAAACUUACGCUAAUACCGCAUACGACCUACGGGUGAAAGCAGGGGAUCUUCGGACCUUGCGCGAUUGAAUGAGCCGAUGUCGGAUUAGCUAGUUGGCGGGGUAAAGGCCCACCAAGGCGACGAUCCGUAGCUGGUCUGAGAGGAUGAUCAGCCACACUGGAACUGAGACACGGUCCAGACUCCUACGGGAGGCAGCAGUGGGGAAUAUUGGACAAUGGGCGCAAGCCUGACGCAGCCACACCGCGUGGGUGAUGAAGGCCUUCGGAUUGUAAAGCCCUGUUGUUGGGAAAGAAAAGCAGCAGGUUUAUCCACGCCUGUUUUGACGGUACCCAAAGAAUAAGCACCGGCUAACUUCGUG
rnacentral:rRNA from 1 species